rnacentral:rRNA from 1 species
AACGAACGCUGGCGGCAUGCUUUACACAUGCAAGUCGAACGGCAGCACGGACUUCGGUCUGGUGGCGAGUGGCGAACGGGUGAGUAAUACAUCGGAACGUACCCAGUAAUGGGGGAUAACUAUCCGAAAGGAUAGCUAAUACCGCAUACGCCCUACGGGGGAAAGAGGGGGAUCGCAAGACCUCUUGUUAUUGGAGCGGCCGAUGGCUGAUUAGCUAGUUGGUGGGGUAAAGGCCUACCAAGGCAACGAUCAGUAGCGGGUCUUAGAGGACGAUCCGCCACACUGGAACUGAGACACGGUCCAGACUCCUACGGGAGGCAGCAGUGGGGAAUCUUGGACAAUGGGCGCAAGCCUGAUCCAGCAAUGCCGCGUGCGUAAAGAAGGCCUUCGGGUUGUAAAGCGCUUUUGUCAGGGAGCAAACCCUUGUGGCUAAUACCCACCGGGGAUGAGAGUACCUGAAGAAUAAGGACCGGCUAACUACGUGCCAGCAGCCGCAGUAACAC